rnacentral:lncRNA from 1 species
GGCAAUGCGCCAAUCUCUUUAUCUAUGUCGGUAAGGGCGCUAUAACCAUGCUUUUCCCUCCUCUUGACGGCUAAAAAGCAAGAACUUGCGGAGAUCACCAGUAAAAAACAUGUCGUGGGAACAACGACCAGUAUCCAUAACCGGCGAGGUUCAUCUACGUCGUCCAAAUCCGAAGUGAACUCCCAUGAAUUGACGCUGUGUCUCUCUGGAUGUUCGCCGAUAGAAGCUGAGAACCCGAUCACUGCAGAUUCAGGAAGGACUCUUGCCAGAUCAACAAGGCAAGAAAGCGAGUGAUUGGCCUUAUAGUGGGAAGGCGGUUUGCCGUCGAACGACCAGAACACGCUGAGGUUCUUGCUCGCAGAAUUGUAGGUCACGUUAACAUUGACCGCUUUCCCGCUUUGCGAUACUGGAUCCCAGGGGGCAAGAACGACCGACGACAGCGAGUUCUGAUUGAUUCCUAUGUGAUACCAAUGGGGAUCAAACUCCCAGUUCAUAUAGGUGUCGAACUCGACCAUGACAAUCCGGUUCUGAGGCCCUUCAUUAAACGUGCUCGCGUUGAACAAUCCCAGGAAUCCGCCAGCCGAGUUGGGCGGGAUCGGGAUCCCCACGGGAGCGAGGAAGAAGGUGAUGCCAUCACUGUGCUGAGCAGAGCCGUCAGUCUCGAUGGUGAACGAGAAACGGGUUGAGAAGUUCGCUUGGCGCCCCGUGACACGAUCCCAUAUGCGGACAGGCUUGGCGUACUUAAUCCGCCCCACCUGGUAGCGAUGCGCAGGAUGGAGGCGGGUGAGAUCGACAUGUCCAUACGUGACCUCCGAAACUCCCUCGUGCAAUAUGUCCCUACUAUCCGUGUCGAAGCUGCUUAUGUUGAAGUAGAGAGGGGCAACACGGGAUCGAAGGACAGCAGACAAGGCAGAACAAGAACAAGCGAGCUUGCAAAGAAAGAGAACGGGGAGUCGCGCGCGGCAUACUUAAGACGGGCUUUGGUGGGAAUUGGAUCACCGACACUGCGAGAUCUAUAUGUUACAUUAGGGAGCUUUAAAAUGAACCCGAGCGUACCUAAUGGCUUACCGGACACGGCGAGCAAUCAUAGAUCAAGCAGCUUCUAUGAUAGUUCCUUGUUUUCUGCUACAGUCAGAUGGAAUAGGUUAUUAGACGUCUGGUGGGUACCAUUGCUAUCUUCCGAACACGAAAUGUCAACACGGUUUUCCCUAUCGCUCCAGCUAUUGCGCAAUUGGUGGAAAAAAUUGCGAGUGUUUGAAAGAGCCUUGGACAAAGACCGUGGAGAUGGAAACUGACCGAUCGAUAGUGACUGGCUGCCGGUGAUAUGAAGCUAGAGAACGAGCUAGCUGGCUGCAGAUCAAAGAUUUGAAUUUUCUGGGGGAGCUUGUGUGGUUCACCAUUUUUGCAGACAUUAUCCGACCACUCAAUGUCUCUGUCCACAAUUGUGGAGGAAAGGAGAGCAAGCUUUGGUUAAAUGAAGAGACUUAAAUGAGGGUUGAGAGUCCAUUUGAUGCAGCUCGCAUUGAGGACCAGCUCUCUCAACCAAGAAGAUCGGCCCAUAUUAAAGCUCAAUGAAACCGAGAAGCCGUAUCGACCAUCCUUGGAGAGUUGCAGUCAUCGAUCUAGAAAAAUCGGUGCCCCCUCAACUUCCUUGGAGGCCUAGGUGAGCAACUAACGGAGUUUCUAUCUUUUCCUUUUCUGUUCGUUAUUUCCAACCCAAUUUCGACCAUCCUACAGUGCUUAUUUCAGAAAACGCAAAACAUAUAAAGUGUAGAUCCAGAAGUCUUUGUUCAUUUGGCUUUGGAAUCAGGUUGAUCCGAUCUAUAUCAACAAAGAUACGACUGUUCUAUUGAGCCUGCUCAGUGUUGAAAUUUCUGUUCGCCCUGUUUUCCCGUGUGCAAGUCACUCUCCCGAUCCUAUUGUUUGAGAAAGCCUACCCUUGGCUUGCAUCAUUAUUGCUCAAAAGCCAUUGAUUAUGAUGAUGAAAAAACUUCGAACACUACCUAUCGAAUUAUCUUAUUCGUCAACCAUGUGUGCCAAAUCUUUCAUACAAGUUGUAUUUGAGAACUACUUUCAUGUUAUCGAAGCACAAGAGCCAUGGUCAAGUUCAAUCAAACUCUUGUAGACCCUCAUUUCACAGCUUGUCCAGCCCAUCGAGAACAUUACAGGCCUAUUUGGUUCUUGAGAUAGUUUCAUUCGAUGAAACUGUGUCGUAGGUAGUAUUUUGAAAGCUCACAUGGAUGCAGAAUCUUGUGUGAUACGGCAAGAUAAAAUCAUUUUGCCAAAUCUUGGUCUUAAGAAUCCAAGAUCAAAAAUGUUAUGCAAUUGACAUAGCAUGUCCUUAGUGACUAACACUAAACUCCUGAUGGCCCAAGUAUUGAUGGGGCAAUUGCUGCAUACCCAAAUGCAUUAGACCCCAUGCAUGCAAUAUGUCGGAUAAUUUGAGUCUCACUAGGAAUUCGUAAGAUCCAAGAAAUCUUGUUUACUGGAUCUAUAUUUUCUGGCUGCGGCCAAUAAUUUUCUGUACCAGUGGCCCCCGUAUGCCCUUUUGAGUUUGCUCCCGCACUAUCAUGGUUGAGAUUUCGUGGUUUAAGCUUCACAAUGAACCUCAAAAGUUACUGUCCUUCCUUGUUCAAAGGUGCGUGAUGAAUCGAAUUUAUCGCGCUUGUGAUGGGAAACGGUCAGACACUUGAAGAGUCCCAAACAAUCCAUUCCUCACGAAACAAAAUUGUAAUGAAAAAGAUCUUUGGGUGAAAACAAUUGAAAACGUCCCAUUUAUUAUUUUCACUCUUUCCACGAGGACCCGGCCGAAAUCAGAACAUGGUUUUGACAAAAAUGAAACUAUAGUUCUCGGUUAGAAAACAUGUUUUUUUUUUCUUUUCUAAUCAAACACAAUAAUUACGAAUAUACACAAGUAAAAACUAAAAUUAUUCUCAUUUUCAUAGGCAUAUUUUGAGAAAUCACGUGCGGUCUAUAUAGAAAAUUAAAGCAGUGACUGAGGUUGAAUCUGCCUUGAUCUUAGCUAUUAGGCCUUAAUGGAACUUAUUACAAAAAACCCAUUGUCCGCUUGAACCAAAGGUUAUAGAUGCUAUAACAAAACUUCGUAAGAAAAUAACUAGAGAAAUCUAUGAAGAUCGAAUUAGGUCUCAAGAUAAAAAUCGGUCUACCAACCACAAGAAAAGUGGAAAUGAAAGCAAUGUAGUUUCGAGUGAAUGGAUACUCCAAGAUAGAACAAGAAAAGUUGAAUCCGAUUAAUUCAACUUCUAUGACUUUGGAAUAAUUAGAAAAUUACAAAAAACGAAAUUAUUCAUUUUGAGCAACAAAGUUCGAUUUAAUCAAAUUUGACAACAGGUUUUCUAACAAGUCUUGCAAGGAGCUUUUGGAACUCUUAAUAGUUGGUUGAAUAACGAGUUACAUUACUUGCCCUGCCCUCGACUGUCUGGCGGGAUCUGGGUGCACGCACCAUAGCCCCACCAUCAUCAGGCACUUCAUCUCCUCCUAUGGGAACUCCGAGUGCAACACCUCGUCAACCGCGCGCCGAGGACGUUGCUAGCAAGGUAGAGUUGCUAGACCCACUCGUGUAGUGAGACCUGGAUCUCUGUUCUCAUAGCUCCUCCGGCCAUGACACCAAAGCUAAACAUGUCGGACUCCGGGGUGGCCUUCCCUCCAAUAAAGUAUUUUGGCGCUAGAUACCCGCAAGUCCCAACCACGUCUGCUGUCUGAGUCCUGAAUCGGGGGUCGACAAGCUUGGCCACUCCAAAGUCGGCAAGCUUGGUGCUGAAGUUGGAGUCGAGUAGUACAUGGGCUGCCUUUAUGUCCUGGUGGAGCACAUAUUGCUCGAGAUCAUCCUCAUAGCUCCUCUGGCCAUCAUGCCGAAGCUGAACAUGUUGGACUCCGUGGUGGCCUUUGUGGGAUGCAAAACGUGCAAUCCCAAGAUCUUCAUAACCAAAACAAGAGCACAAAUGAUUGAGUAAAAAGAUUAACGCACCUAUUUUGAAAUCUAUCGUUCUUGAUGAGGAAGUAGAAAAAUGAUGAUCCACUCGCUAGUCAUUCUCCUCUAUUGUCCUUUGUAUUACUGACUUAAUGAGCUGGUCCCCUCACCCUUUAGCGCUAGGUAAACGCUCCUUAUGUGAGGAUCUUUGUAAGAAUUAGGGUUAGAUGAGAGAUUUGAGCACUAUUUAUAGAAUUUUCAACUAGGUCCUCUCAUUAUAAGCUAGGCUCAACUCGGCCCACAUUAGCCAGUCCCAUAUUAGACUAAUAAAGAAACAUUUUAUUUCACUUUAGACCAACCAACCCCGUAAAAUGGUAAAUUACAAUAUCAAUUUAUGUAGCCUACAUCUUGAAAACUCUUACAUUCUCUCACUUGGGCUAUAUUAAUUGAAAUUGUACUGUAUGUGCGCAUAUUAGUUUAGAAAUAAUUAUUAAUAAUCAAUUCCAUCCCAUAAAGUUUUUUUUUUUUUUUUGGUGACCCAGGGAACCCCUGCACAGCCGACAGCUGUGAAGUAAACAUUGGGAAGGCACGUAGGAAACCACCACCAACGCACCCCGGGUAAGUCGCCAAAUGAUCCGUCAGCCUCCUUGCAACUUGCGUUGCAGGGGCUUUGAACUCUAGACCUCCUACGUGGAAGUCUAGAGCCUACCCAACGGAGCCACCGCGACGGGUGGUUCCAUCCCAUAAAGUUUCAAACACCAAAUCAUGACAGUAAUUGCAUGUAUACACAUAGAGCCUUCCAUGAUCAUGAGUGCUUUUAACUUUAUUGAUAUGGAUUCAAUAUGGUAGUAUAGCAAAUGGAUAAUACCUCUCACAGAGAAAUCCCAUUUGUCAAUCAAUGUUCUCUUACAUUAAGUGUCACAAAAAACUUGUGCCACUAGAUAAUGUCUUUAUGGUUCCAAUGAACUCACACAUGCCUUAUUUUUAUGGUUAACAUUUCUUUAUAUAUAACAAGACAUAUGCAUAAGGCUAAUAACCGGAUGCCCCUAGCUUUCACUCAAGGUUUAUACAAUACAUUGAGACUUUUAUUAAUAUGUAUUUAACAUAAUAACAACACAUUAAAAAAUAUUACUAAAUGUAACAAACACAAAUGUAAACUUUAUUGCAGUAAAACCGAAAGAGCUCCCACUAAACAACAAUAUCUCAUGAUGCUUUUAAGCUCAUGUUAAUGACAUGUUGCUCAAACACACAAUGGCAUAGGCAUUUAGUUAGUGGAUCUGCAACCAUAUUAUCCGUGGAAAUAAGUUAUAUUAUAACGUCACAUUUUUUUACGUUUCUUUAUAGUAAAAAAUUUGACUACCAUAUAUUUAGACUCUUUGAGAUGUCUAUCGUUAAUAAAAAUACUAUAAAUUUAUUGUCUCAAUACAACUGUAUGAGUGAAUCCAUAAAAUUAAAAAUGAUCAACUCCUUAAUGAGGUUUUGGAGCUUAAUAGCCUAAGUAGCAGCCUAAAAGAAUAUUACAAACUCUGCUUAUAUAGUAGGAGAUGACAUAGUGUUUUAUUUACUGCAUUUCCCGCUAACAUAAAUAUGUAUUAUGUUAUUGGUCUUGUAUCAUCCUAAUAGCUAGCAAAGUUUUUUACAUCUAAAUAUCCUGCUAGCUACAAGACUUGAACAUCUAUGUAAAUCAUCAUACAUUAUACUUUUAAGUACACUGACACAUGGUAUACCCUUUAACUAGAUUUUCUCAAUAUCUUAAUAAAGACAAUGUAAUAGAUUCAGUUCAUUGCCCUUAAUGAUAAGAGCAAUUUCUAGCUUACAAUGAUGUAUAUUGAAUAUUUCCAAAAUACGAUCAACAAAUGUCAUCUAAGAUAAAUCCAAUAUAUAUGGCGAGGACAAUCUUUACGGACCUUAGUGCAAAGGACAAAAGAUGUAUCGAGAUCACUACUUGUAAGCAAAAUAUCAUGUAUAUAAAAUAUGAGAAAAAUAAAUUUUCUCCCAUUGAUCUUGCAGUAUAUAUAUUAAAUUACUUUGUUCCAAAUUAAACGAAAUAACAUCACUGAAACUUUAAUAAUAUUGUCUGAAAACUUAAAAUUAUGAAUAAUAAUUUUCAGUUUACACACAAGUUUACUUGAAUCAUUUGCUACAAAAUCCUCCGGUUACACUAUAUAGAUUUUGUUAUCGUGUCUAUUUAAAAAGAUAGUAUCUAUUUGGCGUAACUCCAUAUAAAAAAAGAGCUAUUAAUGUCAUGUUCACUUUAAAAGAAUUUUUAAAAAUACUAGAAAAAAAUAACUGUUAAUGUCAUGUUUAUUCUGAAAGAAAGGUUCUUGCUCACAGAAUUGUAGGUCACUACAAUAUCGAUCGCUUUCCCGCCGUGCAAUCGGGGAUCCUAGUGGUCAUAACAAGCGAAGAGAGCUGGUUCUUAUUGAUUCCUAUGUGAUUCAAUGGGGGAUCGAACUCUGGGUUCAUGUAAGCGUCAAACUCGACCAUGACGAUCUGGUUUCGAGGCCCGUCAUUAGCUGUGCUACCAUUGAACAAUCCGAGGAAUUGUCUGGCCAAGUUGGGCGGGAUUGAGAUCCCAACAAGAGCGAGGAAGAAGGCCAUGCCAUCGCUGUACUGAUUAGAGCCAUCAAUCUCGAUGGUGAACAAGAAGCGGGUCGAGAAGUUUGCUUGGAGCCCCGUGACAGGGUCCCAUAUGCGGACAGGCUUGGCGUACUGAAUCCACCCAACCUGGAAGGGCUGCGAAGGAUGGAGGGGGGGUGAUAUUGACAUAUCCAUACGUGGCCUUCACAACUCCCUCGUACAAUAUGUCCCUCCUAUCCGUGUCGAAGCUGCUUAUGUUAAAGUAGAGAGGAGCGACAGAGGGGAACAAAGGACAACAUACAAGGCAGGACUGUUGGAGAUACAAUUGAAGAUUGUGAUCGUGGAUCGAUCCUAAUUGUGGACUGAUUGAUUUAGUGAAUAUGUGAUAGUUUUAGUAAAUAGGAAAUUUAAAAUUCUUUGUCUAUUAUUUCCUUUUCUUCUCUUUCAUUCUUGCACUAUAAAUAUAUUAAUAUACUUGUAUACAAAUCAAUGAAUAUACAGAGAAUUUCCUCCCUUUUUCUUGCAUUUCCUGUCAAGGACAAGAACAAUUGAGCGCGAAUGCAGGCGCGCAACGACAGAGAAUGGGGAGUCAUGGGCGGCAUUCUUAACCCCGGCUUUGGUCAGAAUCGGAUCUGUUACAUUAGGGUGGUCGGAAUCGGAUCUGUUACAUUAGGGUGCUUUAUAACGAACCCAAGGGUACCCAAUGGCAGACCAAACAGAGCAAGCAAUCGUUGAUCAAGCAGCUUCUUCGAAGGUUCCUUGUUUUCUGCUAAAGUCGCUGGAAUGCAUUAGUCCCAAGGAGGGACGGUCUUGUAUAGUGGGUACAACUGCUAUCUUCCAAACAAGAAAUGCCAACAUGGUGUGGCUAUAAUAGAUUGUUCCUGUCAUUUCCCAACCGGGGGAAAAGCUGCGGGUUUUCUAGAUUGACUUGCUUUCGAGGAUAUGAAGAGAGCCGAGAGAGCUGACUAGCGAUGAAACUUUUGCAUUCACCGUGAGGAAGCUUGUAUGGUUCACCUCUUUUACAGACAUCGUCAGACCACUCGAUGUCUCUUGUCCAAAUUUGUACAGGAAAGGAGUCCGAGCUUUGGUUAGAUGAAUAGCAAUUUGCAGAGACUUGAAAUCUGGAAGGAGGACGCACCAUAUAAAGUUGGGUCUGUCAAAAAGCUUGUCGAGCAAUGUCGUCCUCUUGAGCAUUUUGGUUUUAAAUUUCGACAAAGCUCAUCUUGCAACAUGCCAAUUCGCUUUAGGAAUAAUCCACUCUAAUCAUCAGUUUUUUUUCUCUAUUGGCAUCCAAUCUAAUUACCUUAUUCUUCAAAUAUGUGCAUGAAAUCUUUCCUCCAAUGCUGUAGUUUGAGAAUGCCUUUAAUUCAAUGGGAGCACACUAGACAUGAUCAAGUUCGAUCAACUUACUCUUUUUGAUCAUCAUUUCCCAGCUUGCCCAGCCCAUCAUCGAGAACAUUACAGGCCUUUUUGGAUCUUGAGAUUUUUAAGUUUCGUUCAAUGGAAAUGUGUGGUUGGUAUUACUUUGAAAAUUAACAUUGAUGCGGAAUUUUUGUGAUAGGGCAAGAUGAAGUGCACUUCGCAAAAUUUUUAUUUGAAGAAUGCAAUAUUGAUGGGACAAUUGUUGCUUAUAGGACAGAUUAGACUUAGUGCAUGUGAUCGUUGGAUUACGUGGGUCUCACUUGGAGUUUGUAUGAUCAAAUGAAUCUCAUUGUGCUGACGUAUAAGCUGCAGCCGAUAAUUUUCUAUACUGAUGGCCCUGGAAGCCCUUUUAAGUUCGGUCCUUCACUAAUUAUGUUGCGACUUUCAUUGUUGACCUCAAAAGCUAUUGAAGUGAUAUAUAUCUUUUUUCUUGUCCAAAGGUUCCAGAUGAAAAGAAUCUGUCACAUGUCACGGUUGUUAUUGUUGGAGAAAUCUUUCCAGAAUGGUUGUUAUUGUUGGAGAAAUCUUUCCAGAAUAUUUUGAAGCUGACAAAACGUUUCUAUCAGUCUAGUCUGAAUAAGUAUAGACCUUCUGUUUAAAGUCUGAAGACUUUCAGAUCACCAGACUCAAGACUCAAGACUAUUUUCAUUGACAGUUUUUCUAAUCCAGUGACGAAGUGCCGAAGUAUUUGGCUGAGGAUUUAGUCCUAUCCUCUGGAGAAGAUCUCUUGGCUGGAUAAAUAUAACGGAUUCUUUUAUUCGUAAUCAAGAUUGUUUGAAGAUCCGAUGGUCGACGAAAUAUUCUUGGAAGGUUCUAUUCUUGGAAACCAAGAUCUUGAUUGUAUGGGCGAACAGGAUUGAUGGGCUAUCGUCAGGUUCCUUUAAUAGCUCGAAUGAUCUUCUUAAUUGAUUCCGUCCAACGGGUAGAUUGGAGGAAUUCUUUUGGUAAGUGCCAACGGGUAUGAUGGCAUAAAGGAGUAUAAAAGGAAGACAUUCUAGUUGCUUUAGUGCAUGAUAGAGAAAUUCCAGAGUCUAAGCACCUUGAUUAUUAGUCGAUACAUUUUGAGCGAAAUUGUAUACACAAAGAGUGUCUAUACUUAGAGAUACCUUGAGCGAGUGUGGUAGAUCAUCUACACCGAGAAAUCAAGAGAGAACAACGCUGUAACAUCUCUUUGUUCAUAGUGGAAUCCAGCCAAUAGGCUGUCAGUGCAGAAGAGUGGACGUAGGCUUGAAAUAAGCCGAACCACUAUAAACCGCGUGUUCAAUUUUCUCUUCUCUCAAUCUUACUUUGAUUAUUGUUUGUCUCAAAUUUAUCAACUGUCUAGUAUUGUGCAAUAAUUGAGAAAAAUCCUUUAUAUACCUAUUCACCCCUCUAGGUACUUAUACUAGCUAUAUCAGUUAUGAAUAUAAUUUAGGGUUGAUGAGUCUUCAACAUUCUAUUUCUGACCAAAAUAAUACUCAAAAGUUUUUAGAGUGAAAACAACUUAAAACAUUGCUUUUAUGAUUUUCGCUCUUUUUUAUGUGGACCCCACCGAAAUCAAAACAUGGUUUUGACAAGAAUGAAACUGCGUUUCUCAGUAAGAAAACGUGAUUUUUUUCUCUCCAACCUAAUAAUUUAAGAAUAUACAAAAGUAAAAGCAAAAAGUUAUACCCAUUUUCAUGGACAUAUUUUGAGAAAUCACAUGCGGUCUAUAUAAAAAAUUAAAACGGUAUCAAAUGUCGCAUUUGCCUUGACCUUAGCUAUCAUCAUGAAGUUACUACGAAAAACCCAUCUUAAAUAAAUCUCGUAGUCAACAAAGGCCUGAACUAAUCUCAUGAAUCAAAUAAGACAAAAAUCAAGACCCAGGCAGAUGGCCUGAAAAAACAAAUCGUUUGUAACUUGGUCAACUGGAGAAUCGAACCUACCACAGCAUAUUCCAAUUCCUUGACCUCUUUCUAAGUCAUCCCCACGGGUUUUACCUUUAAAAGAGUAAAUUUCGUGGAUGAAAACUAGUGUAAUUCAUGUAGCACUGCUCAAAAUAACAAAGUAGUAAAACAACCGGCCUUGGCGAAAUGUCCUUUCCCUACGCGCCCAGAAUAUUUAAUUAGCAAGAAAGCUCUCCCAUAAUUUCUCAUCUUCUCUAUAUUGUAAACUCUGUUGACAUUCUACCGAUUGCGAAUCAAUACAUUACAAUGCAAUUGUUUCCCGUGAAAGAACCGAGCAACAUUGAAGCAAACGUUAUAAAACUGCAAAAUGAUGUUGUGAUGCUCCCAAUACGUCACAGUUAAUGCAUUUGCUAAAGUCUUUUCACUUUUUUAAGCAUGUAGAUUCAAAGGAUGUGACGCCCUUAGCAUGUCACGGCUAAAGCAGUUACUAAAGUUUUUUCACUUUUUAAGCAUGUAGAAGUCUGUACGAUUAAAGAACACCUAUCACAUAUAAAAUUACAAUGUCCUUUCCCUACACAUUGGGAAUAUUUAAUUAGCAAGGAAGCUCUCCCAUAAUUUCUCAUCUUCUUUAUACAUUGUAAACUCCGUUGACAUUCCACCGAUUGUGAAUCAAUACACUACAAUGCAAUUGUUCCCAAGCAACAUCGAAGCAAACAUUAUAAAACUACAAGACAAUGUUGUGAUGCCCCUAGUACGUCACGGCUAACGCAUUUACUAAAGUCUUUUCACCUUUUUAAGCAAGCAGAAGCCUAUACAGUCAAACAACACCCAUGACAUAUAAAAAUUCAAAGGAUGUGAUGCCUCGGCACGUCACAGCUAAUGCAUUUACUAAAGUCUUUUCACUUUUUAAGCAUAUAGAAGUGUGUACAAUUAAAGAACAUCCAGGACAUAUAAAAUUACAGUUUCCUUUCCCUACACGCCCAAAAUAUUUAAUUAGCAAGGAAGCUCUCCCACAAUUUCUCAUCUUCUCUCUAUCUUGUAAACACCAUUGACAUCCCACUGAUUGUGAAUCAAUACAUUACAAUGCAAUUGUUCCCAAGCAACAUCGAAGCAGACAUUAUAAAACUGCAAGACGAUGUUGUGACUCCCCUAGUAUGUCGCGGCCGACGCAUUUACUGAAGUAUUUUCACUUUUUUAAGCAUGCAAAAAAGUAUAUGGUUAAACAAUAUCCGAGACAUAUAAAAAUUCAAAGGAUGUGAUGCUCCCAGCACGUCACGGCUAACUUACUUACUAAAUUUUUUUCACUUUUUAAGCAGGCAGAAACGUGUAUGGUUAAAGAAUACCCAAGACAUAUAAAAUUACAAUGUCCUUUUCCUACAUGCCAGAAUAUUUACUUAGAAAGGAAACUCUCCCACAAUUUCUCCUCUUCUCUCUAUAUUGUAAACUCCGUUGACAUUCUACCGAUUGUGAAUCAAUACAUUACAAAGGCGUCACUUGGGCGUGUCCCAUUACUGGACCGUCCAUUACCCUGAGGCUUGACUCUUGAGCUAAUUUCUUGUACCAUCACUUGCGCGCGUCAUAUUGCUGUACCAUCCAAUCCAAGACGGUAUGACUAGAAUCUAUUGCUGCUGUUAUUUGUCAAAUGGGGGAAAAUUUGCAGGUGUUCUAGAGAGCCGCGUAUGAAGACCGUGGAGAUGGAAACUGACCAAUCGAUCUCCCGAGUUGACUGGCUUUCGAUAACAUAACGGGAGCGAGCGGGCGACCCCGGAUCGGUGUUUUUGCAUUCGCCAGGAGAGCUUCUGCGGUUCACCUCUUUAACAGAAAUGAUCAGACCCGGUCAACGUGUCUGUCUACAAGUGUGUAGGAAAGGAGCGCAUGCUAUUGUUAGAUGAGCUGCGAUUUGCAGGGACGUGAAGAGCGGUUGAGAGUAUAUUGCUUCGAAGCCACUGAUUAUGACGAACACUACGAACCCAAAAAACAAAAUAAGAGCCACAGAUAGUUUUUUAGCUGCAUCAUCAUCAUACCAUGUCACCGUGCCUGUCGUCAAUGCCAUGUCAUCAUGUGUGCCACGCCAUCACCAUGUCAUCGAAAUAUGCCAUGUCAUUGCUUGCAUGUCAUUGAGUGAUUGUAUGUUAGGUUCAUAAAAUUGUACGUCAUGCUGGAAUAGUUCCAUAACAAUUUUACCACUCAUUGGAAUUAAUUACCGCAAGCCAAGUUGGAAUAGACAUACUUAGUGCGUCGUCGUGUUUAGAGUACUUGGAUUACAUACAUUACAUACAUUACAUUUUAGCGUUAGCUUUCACUAGAUAAGAGAAAACCUUAAAAAGGAUUUGAGUGGAAUUGUCUGUCAAUUAGAAAUCAUAUUUAUGUUAAGAAUGUGAUUUUCUAAUAAAUGUUACAGUUGCUUAUGUUACUUCAAGGUAAGUAAAUCUAUUCCUUACCCUUGCAAUCUGUUCAUCACUUUGAGUAUAGGGUGUUUUAUUAACGGUUGUGCACACGCAUGAUUACCUCACAUCUUAGUGAAAAUGUUUAAAUUUAAUCCAAUGCCCUUGCCAAAUAUUUUUUGAACAAAAGAGGAAGGUACCAAAAGGGUAUUGGAGUAAUCAAGCAUAAUCAAUUCCUUGUUGCCCUCGCGAUCUUGAGUCAGGCUUUCGGCAUCCGCUUAUACUCCAAAUCGACCUAAAUGAAAGUCCUGCUCACUGUGGUGAAUUCGUAGUGUCCAGUGUACUCUUGCAUGCAGCUUUCCGUCUCAUUGAAGUGAGAACCUCCAACUUUUUCAUCUGUAUUCUCUCCGACGUGAUGAACGCGCUUGCUUCUUUAUAUCAGAAAUUUGAAGAGAGAUAAAGGUAAUUUAACGGAAAAUUUUAUUUUCAUAGUGUUCUGUUUAUGCCGAUGUAAGCAAUGUAUGUUAAGCGAUACCAAGUCCCCCGUGAUGCUCUCAAUUCCAAACAACAAAUUUGGGCAAGGCAAACGAGAUGGUAACCGAACUACAGUUGAUGCAGCAGAAUGUGCAGAUUUUAGUCAGCAUGUGUUGCCGUAUGACUUUAGGAGACAGGAUUUGUCUAGCUUCCUAAACACAGAUUCUUGAAUAGGAGGAGCAGAUGGAGAUUCCAGUAUUCCUAAUUGCGAAGCCGAUGGCCGGUGUGAAACUGGACUGUUGAACGCGUCGUGCGGCAGCUCGGGGACUGAGUCCUCCAGCUGGAGGAACCUGAUCACUUGCCCCGCCUUUGGCCUUCUCACGGGGUCGGGGUGCACGCACCACAACCCCACCCUCAUCAGGCACUCCAUUUCCUCCCUCCGGAACCCUGAGCCCAAGGCCUCAUCGGCCGCGCCGAGGAUGUUGCUGGCGAGGUAGAGUUCCCAGACCCACUUGUGCAACGCGACCCAGACCUCUCCGUCCUCAUAGCUCCUCCGGCCGCACGCAAUCUCCAGGGCCACCACGCCGAAGCUGAACAUGUCGGACUCCUUCGUGGCCUUCCCACUAAUGAAGUACUCUGGCGCCAGGUACCCGCAAGUCCCAACCACGUCUGUUGUCUGAGACCUGAACCUGGGGUCAAUGAGCUUGGCCACUCCGAAGUCGCCGAGCCUGGUUGUGAAGCUGGUGUCGAGCAGCACGUUGGCUGCCUUUAUGUCCCGGUGGAGAACCCAUUUCUCGAGCUCCUCGUGGAGGUAGUUAAGGGCGGAUGCCAGGCCGAGCGCCACGCCGUAUCGCACAGCCCACGGCAGGCUUCUCCGGGGCCCAAAGAGGUGGUGGUCGAGGCUGCCAUUGGGCAUGUACUCGUAGACGAGCAAGAACUCACCUUCCUCUUGACACCACCCAACAAACGGCACCAGGUUUCUGUGUAUUGUUCGGCUUAUGAUCUUCACCUCGUUGACAAAGACCUUCUCGGAGUGUCGGGACUCCGCAAAGAUCCUUUUGACGGCGACCAGGCGGUUCGAAUGGCUCAAGAACCCUUUAUAGACUUGGGCAGACCCGCCUCGGCCCAGCCUUCUAUCGUCUGCGAAGCCAUUGGUCGCCGCGAGCAACUCCUGAUAAGUGAACUUCGUAGGCAAUGGGCCAAUCUCUUUAUCUAUGUCGGUAAGGGCGCUAUAACCUUGCUUUUCCCUCCUCUUGACGGCGAAAAAGCAAGAACUUGCGGAGAUCACCAGUAAAAAACAUGUCGUGGGAACAACGACCAGUAUCCAUAACCGGCGAGGUUUAUCUACGUCGUCCAAAUCCGAAGUGAACUCCCAUGAAUUGACGCUAUGUCUCUCUGGAUGGGUGCCGAAAGAAGCUGAGAACCCGAUCGCUGCAGAUUCAGGAAGGACACUUGCCAGAUCAACAAGGUAAGAAAGUGAUUGAUGGG